UUGUUAAGUUUGAGGAACCAUUUCUAUAGUUCGUCUCUAGAGCACUUUCUCACCCGAGACCAUCAUGAGGACCAGACACAGCGUUCCCUCCUGAGUGUGCAGCCGGCUCCAGGUGCUGCUUUCCACUGAGCCUCCUCCUCUUCCGCUGAUGGUCAUUCUUACCUUCCCUUGGGAGAGGGAGAGGGAAAGGGAGGGAAUGCAGUCAGGGUGUG